GAAACUUGAAAAAAAUUCUGUAAACCGACGCGUUGAUUAAUCCCCUCACAUAUAACUAGGGUUUUUAUUCUCCUAUUUUUUUCCCCUUCUUUCCUUCUUCCCGUUCUUGCCACCGUCGAAGUGAACCACGAAAUUGAUUACUUUCCACCAUACGUCGGGCGUUUCCCUCCAUAUUUUUGCAACUCUAAUAUAUAACAGUGCGGUGUUGGACUUCGCUUUGCCUUAUUCUACGGCGUUGGACAGAGGUAAGUAGUUUUCGUUUUUGGUCAUUCCUUUUUAGUAUUCUCGUUUGAUGAUCGUUGUAUUUUAUAGAUCUGUUUUAUAGAAGUUUCUUAAAUUUUUGAAUCUGUUUUUCUCCCUUGUUCAAGUAUACUCUGUUGUGUCGUAGGUAGUGAUUUUGAAGAAAUUGGUAGUGUUGUAUGAAAUUUAGUAUGAAUAUGUGGUAUGACAUGUAGGUUGUUACUAUCUCCGAUCGUAGUAUUUUUUAUGUUUUUAUUAGUAGUAAUUCUAGUUUUAGACGAAUGUUGUUGAAGUUGUUUUUGUUUGACAUCUAUUCAAUCGGUUUUUAAAGGAUUUUUUUUUGGAUGUUGAGGUUGUAUUUUUUUCCGAAGAUUUUCAAUAUCUUAAGACCCAUCAUUAUUCCCUGUUGAGGUUGCAAUUUUUUUUAAAGAACCGAUUGUGGUUGUAUUUUGUUUUGAAGAACCUUUUGAUCCUUGUUCAAGUAUACUCUGUUUUGAAAUUAGCAUUCGAUAGGUUAGAUUUUUGUUGGGAGAUGAUGAAUGAAUGUGUUUGCAUUUGUGUUGCUUAGUUAUUUUUGUUAUUCUAUUUUAAAAUGUGUUUGUUUAUGUUGGCAGUGAAAGAUGUUUAGGUGAAGAAUAAAUAUGAUGUGCAGUCUGUAUUGUACUAUUUUUUAGGUCAUCUUUUAUCAUAUAGUACGAAUAUGUGAUUAGGUGAAGUACUGAAUUAUUAGGUGUGGUAGUAUUCUAGUCUCCUGAAAUGUUUUAUGAAUUCAUGUCUAGAUAAUGUACUGUAAUAGAUGAAGCUGGAUAUUUUGUUGAUGUUUAUACUUGAUGAUUUAGGAUAUUUAGGAUGAGGUAUUUUUGAUGAUUUAAUGAAGGACCUUAUUUUAAAAAAUUUACACGCCAUUACGACUAGGUUGGGACGAUACCAUACCAUUUACUGUAAGAAACUAAAACAUCGAAGUAAUAGAAAUAAUUACAAUUUAUUUGUGUAAUUAUAAUUGUUGAAAAUAGACAAAGAAACCAUUAUAUGUAAAUUAUUAUAGACGACUAGACCAUAGCCCAUAUAUAGGA
rnacentral:lncRNA from 1 species